rnacentral:rRNA from 1 species
UUAAGCGACUAAGCGUACACGGUGGAUGCCCUGGCAGUCAGAGGCGAUGAAGGACGUGCUAAUCUGCGAUAAGCGUCGGUAAGGUGAUAUGAACCGUUAUAACCGGCGAUUUCCGAAUGGGGAAACCCAGUGUGAUUCGUCACACUAUCAUUAACUGAAUCCAUAGGAGGCUAAAUACUCCUGACUGACCGAUAGUGAACCAGUACCGUGAGGGAAAGGCGAAAAGAACCCCGGCGAGGGGAGUGAAAAAGAACCUGAAACCGUGUACGUACAAGCAGUGGGAGCACGCUUAGGCGUGUGACUGCGUACCUUUUGUAUAAUGGGUCAGCGACUUAUAUUCUGUAGCAAGGUUAACCGAAUAGGGGAGCCGAAGGGAAACCGAGUCUUAACUGGGCGUUAAGUUGCAGGGUAUAGACCCGAAACCCGGUGAUCUAGCCAUGGGCAGGUUGAAGGUUGGGUAACACUAACUGGAGGACCGAACCGACUAAUGUUGAAAAAUUAGCGGAUGACUUGUGGCUGGGGGUGAAAGGCCAAUCAAACCGGGAGAUAGCUGGUUCUCCCCGAAAGCUAUUUAGGUAGCGCCUCGUGAAUUCAUCUCCGGGGGUAGAGCACUGUUUCGGCAAGGGGGUCAUCCCGACUUACCAACCCGAUGCAAACUGCGAAUACCGGAGAAUGUUAUCACGGGAGACACACGGCGGGUGCUAACGUCCGUCGUGAAGAGGGAAACAACCCAGACCGCCAGCUAAGGUCCCAAAGUCAUGGUUAAGUGGGAAACGAUGUGGGAAGGCCCAGACAGCCAGGAUGUUGGCUUAGAAGCAGCCAUCAUUUAAAGAAAGCGUAAUAGCUCACUGGUCGAGUCGGCCUGCGCGGAAGAUGUAACGGGGCUAAACCAUGCACCGAAGCUGCGGCAGCGACGCUUAUGCGUUGUUGGGUAGGGGAGCGUUCUGUAAGCCUGCGAAGGUGUGCUGUGAGGCAUGCUGGAGGUAUCAGAAGUGCGAAUGCUGACAUAAGUAACGAUAAAGCGGGUGAAAAGCCCGCUCGCCGGAAGACCAAGGGUUCCUGUCCAACGUUAAUCGGGGCAGGGUGAGUCGACCCCUAAGGCGAGGCCGAAAGGCGUAGUCGAUGGGAAACAGGUUAAUAUUCCUGUACUUGGUGUUACUGCGAAGGGGGGACGGAGAAGGCUAUGUUGGCCGGGCGACGGUUGUCCCGGUUUAAGCGUGUAGGCUGGUUUUCCAGGCAAAUCCGGAAAAUCAAGGCUGAGGCGUGAUGACGAGGCACUACGGUGCUGAAGCAACAAAUGCCCUGCUUCCAGGAAAAGCCUCUAAGCAUCAGGUAACAUCAAAUCGUACCCCAAACCGACACAGGUGGUCAGGUAGAGAAUACCAAGGCGCUUGAGAGAACUCGGGUGAAGGAACUAGGCAAAAUGGUGCCGUAACUUCGGGAGAAGGCACGCUGAUAUGUAGGUGAAGUCCCUUGCGGAUGGAGCUGAAAUCAGUCGAAGAUACCAGCUGGCUGCAACUGUUUAUUAAAAACACAGCACUGUGCAAACACGAAAGUGGACGUAUACGGUGUGACGCCUGCCCGGUGCCGGAAGGUUAAUUGAUGGGGUCAGCGCAAGCGAAGCUCUUGAUCGAAGCCCCGGUAAACGGCGGCCGUAACUAUAACGGUCCUAAGGUAGCGAAAUUCCUUGUCGGGUAAGUUCCGACCUGCACGAAUGGCGUAAUGAUGGCCAGGCUGUCUCCACCCGAGACUCAGUGAAAUUGAACUCGCUGUGAAGAUGCAGUGUACCCGCGGCAAGACGGAAAGACCCCGUGAACCUUUACUAUAGCUUGACACUGAACAUUGAGCCUUGAUGUGUAGGAUAGGUGGGAGGCUUUGAAGUGUGGACGCCAGUCUGCAUGGAGCCGGCCUUGAAAUACCACCCUUUAAUGUUUGAUGUUCUAACGUGGACCCGUGAUCCGGGUUGCGGACAGUGUCUGGUGGGUAGUUUGACUGGGGCGGUCUCCUCCUAAAGAGUAACGGAGGAGCACGAAGGUUGGCUAAUCCUGGUCGGACAUCAGGAGGUUAGUGCAAUGGCAUAAGCCAGCUUGACUGCGAGCGUGACGGCGCGAGCAGGUGCGAAAGCAGGUCAUAGUGAUCCGGUGGUUCUGAAUGGAAGGGCCAUCGCUCAACGGAUAAAAGGUACUCCGGGGAUAACAGGCUGAUACCGCCCAAGAGUUCAUAUCGACGGCGGUGUUUGGCACCUCGAUGUCGGCUCAUCACAUCCUGGGGCUGAAGUAGGUCCCAAGGGUAUGGCUGUUCGCCAUUUAAAGUGGUACGCGAGCUGGGUUUAGAACGUCGUGAGACAGUUCGGUCCCUAUCUGCCGUGGGCGCUGGAGAACUGAGGGGGGCUGCUCCUAGUACGAGAGGACCGGAGUGGACGCAUCACUGGUGUUCGGGUUGUCAUGCCAAUGGCACUGCCCGGUAGCUAAAUGCGGAAGAGAUAAGUGCUGAAAGCAUCUAAGCACGAAACUUGCCCCGAGAUGAGUUCUCCCUGACCCUUUAAGGGUCCUGAAGGAACGUUGAAGACGACGACGUUGAUAGGCCGGGUGUGUAAGCGCAGCGAUGCGUUGAGCUAACCGGUACUAAUGAACCGUGAGGCUUAACC